UUUCAAUCACAGCGUUCUGAGUUCAAGUCCCACCAUUGCAAUCUACCAGAGGAACGCAGUGAGCUCAAGGGUGGUUUCUUUGCUCAAGUGUGGUUUCUUUAACAUUCAGUUGUUAAGCUUUCAAAUUAUGUUAAAGUGUAUUGUUAAUCCAUGUAUGUAUUGUAUGUUGCGGUGUCCUCAUACCUGAUUUGAAGUAAUUUCUAUAUCAGUGUUUCGUAACUCUGUCCCUGCAGGAACACCAACAAAACACAUUUUCCAACUCUUCCUAAUCAAUCACACCUGAAUCAACUCAUCAGCUCGUUAGCAGAGACUCCAAAACUAGAUAUAUAUGGGUCAGAUAAGAAGGACUUCCAGGAUGUGCAAUGUUGGUGUGGCUCCUGGAACAGGGAUCUCUUGGUUUGAGCUGCUGGA